UACGUAGGUGACAAGCGUUGUCCGGAUUUACUGGGCGUAAAGAGCGCGCAGGCGGUCGAUCAAGUCGAGUGUGAAAGCCCCCGGCUCAACUGGGGAGGGUCAUUCGAUACUGAUCGACUCGAAGGCAGGAGAGGGUAGUGGAAUUCCCGGGUGUAGUGGUGAAAUGCGUAGAUAUCGGGAGGAACACCAGUGGCGAAGGCGACUUCCUGGCCUGUUCUUGACGCUGAGGCGCGAAAGCUAGGGUAGCAAACGGGG
rnacentral:rRNA from 1 species